rnacentral:rRNA from 1 species
AACGUAGGGGACAAGCGUUAUCCGGAUUUACUGGGCGUAAAGCGCCCGUAGGCGGCUUUUUAAGUUGGACGUGAAAGCUCCCGGCUUAACUGGGAGAGGCCGUUCAAAACUGAGAGGCUAGAGUGAGGCAGAGGAGCGCGGAAUUCCCGGUGUAGUGGUGGAAUGCGUAGAUAUCGGGAGGAACACCAGUGGCGAAAGCGGCGCUCUGGGCCUAAACUGACGCUGAGGGGCGAAAGCGUGGGUAGCGAACGGG